rnacentral:rRNA from 1 species
ACGCUAGCUACAGGCUUAACACAUGCAAGUCGAGGGGAAACGGCAUUGAGUGCUUGCACUCUUUGGACGUCGACCGGCGCACGGGUGAGUAACGCGUAUCCAACCUUCCCAUUACUGUGGGAUAACCUGCCGUAAGGCAGACUAAUACCGCAUAGUCUUCGAUGACGGCAUCAGAUUUGAAGUAAAGAUUUAUCGGUAAUGGAUGGGGAUGCGUCUGAUUAGCUUGUUGGCGGGGUAACGGCCCACCAAGGCGACGAUCAGUAGGGGUUCUGAGAGGAAGGUCCCCCACAUUGGAACUGAGACACGGUCCAAACUCCUACGGGAGGCAGCAGUGAGGAAUAUUGGUCAAUGGACGGAAGUCUGAACCAGCCAAGUAGCGUGCAGGAUGACGGCCCUAUGGGUUGUAAACUGCUUUUGUAUGGGGAUAAAGUUAGGGACGUGUCCCUAUUUGCAGGUACCAUACGAAUAAGGACCGGCUAAUUCCGUGCCAGCAGCCGCGGUAAUACGGAAGGUCCAGGCGUUAUCCGGAUUUAUUGGGUUUAAAGGGAGCGUAGGCUGGAGAUUAAGUGUGUUGUGAAAUGUAGACGCUCAACGUCUGAAUUGCAGCGCAUACUGGUUUCCUUGAGUACGCACAACGUUGGCGGAAUUCGUCGUGUAGCGGUGAAAUGCUUAGAUAUGACGAAGAACUCCGAUUGCGAAGGCAGCUGACGGGAGCGCAACUGACGCUUAAGCUCGAAGGUGCGGGUAUCAAACAGGAUUAGAUACCCUGGUAGUCCGCACAGUAAACGAUGGAUGCCCGCUGUUGGUACCUGGUAUCAGCGGCUAAGCGAAAGCAUUAAGCAUCCCACCUGGGGAGUACGCCGGCAACGGUGAAACUCAAAGGAAUUGACGGGGGCCCGCACAAGCGGAGGAACAUGUGG